GGGCCACCGAGGCGCGGCUCGCAGCCUGCGGGUGUUUUCCGCUCGUGGAUCCGCAGGCCGAUGGCGUGGUGCUGUUCGACAUCGGCGGUGGCUCC
rnacentral:tRNA from 1 species